CCUACGGGUGGCUGCAGUGGGGAAUAUUAGACAAUGGGGGGAACCCUGAUCCAGCCAUGCCGCGUGUGUGAAGAAGGCCCUCGGGUUGUAAAGCACUUUCAGUGAGGAAGAACGCCUGGUGGUUAAUACCCAUCAGGAAAGACAUCACUCACAGAAGAAGCACCGGCUAACUCCGUGCCAGCAGCCGCGGUAAUACGGAGGGUGCGAGCGUUAAUCGGAAUUACUGGGCUUAAAGCGCGCGUAGGUGGCUUGAUAAGCCGGUUGUGAAAGCCCCGGGCUCAACCUGGGAACGGCAUCCGGAACUGUCAAGCUAGAGUGCAGGAGAGGAAGGUAGAAUUCCCGGUGUAGCGGUGAAAUGCGUAGAGAUCGGGAGGAAUACCAGUGGCGAAGGCGGCCUUCUGGACUGACACUGACACUGAGGUGCGAAAGCGUGGGUAGCAAACAGGAUUAGAUACCCUGGUAGUC
rnacentral:rRNA from 1 species